rnacentral:rRNA from 1 species
UCCUUCGGGCAAUGGAUACAGGUGGUGCACGGUUGUCGUCAGCUCGUGUCGUGAGAUGUUGGGUUAAGUCCCGCAACGAGCGCAACCCCCACGUUUAGUUGCUAACGCGUGAAGGCGAGCACUCUAGACGAACUGCCGUUGACAAAACGGAGGAAGGUGGGGAUGACGUCAAAUCAUCAUGCCCCUUAUGUUCUGGGCUACACACGUGCUACAAUGGCCGGUACAGACGGACGCAAAGCCGCGAGGUGGAGCAAAUCCUAAAAAGCCGGUCUCAGUUCGGAUUGCAGGCUGCAAUUCGCCUGCAUGAAGUCGGAAUCGCUAGUAAUCGCAGGUCAGCAUACUGCGGUGAAUACGUUCCCGGGCCUU